UACGGAGGGUGCGAGCGUUAUCCGGAUUCACUGGGUUUAAAGGGUGCGUAGGUGGGAAUGUAAGUCAGUGGUGAAAUCUCUGAGCUUAACUCAGAAACUGCCAUUGAUACUAUGUUUCUUGAAUUUUCUGGAGGUCAGCGGAAUAUGUCAUGUAGCGGUGAAAUGCUUAGAUAUGACAUAGAACACCAAUGCGAAGGCAGCUGGCUACAGGGAUAUUGACACUGAGGCACGAAAGCGUGGGGAUCAAACAGG
rnacentral:rRNA from 1 species